rnacentral:misc_RNA from 1 species
AGCAGCCGCGGUAAUUCCAGCUCCAAUAGCGUAUAUUAAAGUUGUUGCAGUUAAAAAGCUCGUAGUUGAAUUUCGGGAUCAAUACGUCGGUCGUGCUUCGGUACGUACUGGCGUAAUUGAUUUCUCCCUUCUGACGAACCAUGAUGUCAUUAACUUGGUGUCAUGGGAAAUCAGGACUGUUACUUUGAAAAAUUAGAGUGUUUAAAGCAGGCUCACGCUUGAAUACAUUAGCAUGGAAUAAUGAAAUAGGACGUUCGAUCCUAUUUUGUUGGUUUUUAGGAUCAACGUAAUGAUUAAUAGGGAUAGUUGGGGGCAUUAGUAUUCAAUUGUCAGAGGUGAAAUUCUUGGAUUUAUUGAAGACUAACUACUGCGAAAGCAUUUGCCAGGAUGUUUUCAUUAAUCAAGAACGAAAGUUAGGGGAUCGAAGACGAUCAGAUACCGUCGUAGUCUUAACCAUAAACUAUGCCGACUAGGGAUCGGAUGAUGUUAAUUUUUUAAUGACUCAUUCGGCGCCUUACGG